rnacentral:rRNA from 1 species
CCUACGGGAGGCAGCAGUGGGGAAUAUUGGGCAAUGGGCGCAAGCCUGACCCAGCAACGCCGCGUGAAGGAAGAAGGCUUUCGGGUUGUAAACUUCUUUUCUCAGGGACGAAGGAAGUGAAGGUACCUGAGGAAUAAGCCACGGCUAACUACGUGCCCGCCGCCGCGGUAAUACGUAGGUGGCAAGCGUUAUCCGGAUUUACUGGGUGUAAAGGGCGUGUAGGCGGGAAAGCAAGUCAGAUGUGAAAACCAUGGGCUCAACCUGUGGCCUGCAUUUGAAAAUGUUUUUCUUGAGUACUGGAGAGGCAGACGGAAUUCCAAGUGUAGCGGUGAAAUGCGUAGAGAUUAGGAGGAACACCAGUGGCGAAGGCGGUCUGCUGGACAGCAACUGACGCUGAGGCGCGAAAGCGUGGGGAGCAAACAGGAUUAGAUACCCCUGUAGUC